rnacentral:rRNA from 1 species
CUACGUGCCAGCAGCCGCGGUAAUACGGAGGAUGCGAGCGUUAUCCGGAUUUAUUGGGUUUAAAGGGUGCGUAGGCGGCCUGUUAAGUCAGCGGUGAAAUCUAGGAGCUUAACUCCUAAAUUGCCAUGGAUACUGGCGGGCUUGAGUGUAGAUGAGGUAGGCGGAAUGCGUGGUGUAGCGGUGGAAUGCAUAGAUAUCACGCAGAACUCCGAUUGCGAAGGCAGCUUACUAAGGUACAACUGACGCUGAAGCACGAAAGCGUGGGUAUCAAACAGGAUUAGAUACCCUGGUAGUCCACGCAGUAAACGAUGAUAACUGGGCGUAUGCGAUAUACAGUAUGCUCCUAAGCGAAAGCGUUAAGUUAUCCACCUGGGGAGUACGCCGGCAACGGUGAAACUCAAAGGAAUUGACGGGGGCCCGCACAAGCGGAGGAACAUGUGGUUUAAUUCGAUGAUACGCGAGGAACCUUACCCGGGAUUGAA